UUCCUGCUGGCUCAGUUGGUAAAGAAUCUGCCUGCCGUGCAGGAGACCCAGGUUUGAUUCCUGGGUAGGGAA
rnacentral:tRNA from 1 species